GCAUAUCAAUAAGCGGAGGAAAAGAAACCAACAGGGAUUGCCCUAGUAACGGCGAGUGAAGCGGCAACAGCUCAAAUUUGAAAUCUGGCGCAAGCCCGAGUUGUAAUUUGUAGAGGAUGCUUCUGGGUAGCGACCGAUCUAAGUUCCUUGGAACAGGACGUCAUAGAGGGUGAGAAUCCCGUAUGUGACCGGCCCGCACCCUUUACGUAGCUCCUUCGACGAGUCGAGUUGUUUGGGAAUGCAGCUCUAAAUGGGAGGUAAAUUUCUUCUAAAGCUAAAUACCGGCCAGAGACCGAUAGCGCACAAGUAGAGUGAUCGAAAGAUGAAAAGUACUUUGGAAAGAGAGUUAAAAAGCACGUGAAAUUGUUGAAAGGGAAGCGCCUGCAACCAGACUUCGUGGCAGUGUUCCGCCGGUCUUCUGACCGGUUUAUUCUCUGUCGCGAGGCCAUCAUCGUCUAGGCCCGCCGGAUAAGACCUUAGGAAUGUAGCUCACCUUCGGGGGAGUGUUAUAGCCUAUGGUGAUGCGGCGAGGCUUGGGCGAGGUCCGCGCUUCGGCAAGGAUGAUGGCGUAAUGGUUGUCGGCGGCCCGUCUUGAAACACGGACCAAGGAGUCUAACAUCUAUGCGAGUGUUCGGGUGUCAAACCCCUACGCGUAAUGAAAGUGAACGGAGGUGGGAACCGCAAGGUGCACCAUCGACCGAUCCUGAUGUCCUCGGAUGGAUUUGAGUAAGAGCAUAGCUGUUGGGACCCGAAAGAUGGUGAACUAUGCCUGAAUAGGGUGAAGCCAGAGGAAACUCUGGUGGAGGCUCGCAGCGGUUCUGACGUGCAAAUCGAUCGUCAAAUUUGGGUAUAGGGGCGAAAGACUAAUCGAACCAUCUAGUAGCUGGUUCCUGCG
rnacentral:rRNA from 1 species